UACGUAGGUGGCAAGCGUUGUCCGGAUUUACUGGGCGUAAAGAGCGCGCAGGCGGUUGGAUAAGUCGAAUGUGAAAGCCCCCGGCUUAACUGGGGAGGGUCACUCGAUACUGAUCGACUCGAAGGCAGGAGAGGGAAGUGGAAUUCCCGGUGUAGUGGUGAAAUGCGUAGAUAUCGGGAGGAACACCAGUGGCGAAGGCGACUUCCUGGCCUGUUCUUGACGCUGAGGCGCGAAAGCUAGGGGAGCAAACGGG
rnacentral:rRNA from 1 species